rnacentral:ribozyme from 13 species
AAAAAAAAAAAAAAAAAAAAAAAAAAAAAAAAAAAAAAAAAAAAAAAAA